GGGGGCUGUGGGAAGCAGGACCUGGUCCUGAUGGGGCUGGCCCUGUUUAGGGUCUUGCCUGCCUGCUGCCAUUGAUGAAUGAGGGCAUGGGAAGAGUCCUGAUGCUUUCUGAAGAGAAGCAGGGACCAGGGUUCCAGAGGCCGCUGCACAAGUGCCAAUGAGAAGCUGACUCGAGGGAGAUGAAGGCCAUGACACUAAGCCCUAAACACUCCAGAGGCCAGUUGGAGCUCUUUUCCCUUGUUGUCCCCAUGCUGCCUGGCACUAAAUGCUGCAUCUUCUCAGGAGGUCUCUAGUACUCUGGGCCCUGACCAGCCCUUCCCAGGGAGUGCCAGAGUCUACUUGAUCGAGUUUGGCCCCCACGGAAUCUUUGGCUUCAUCAUCUCCAGUGUGGACAUGGUUGGCUCCUUCCUCCAAGACCGUUCAGCUAGUCACUACCCUGUGUACCAGAGGCAGCAUCUGCUCAAUAGCAACCCCCACUGGGACUUUGGAGCCUUCAGAAGACUCUGCCACCUGGUACAAGAGACACAGUUCAACCUCUCAAGGUUUGCCCACCGGUUCCUAGAUCCAGGCACAUAUGUAUUUCGUGACAAUGGGCAGUCUGAGAGCAUUGCUGUGGUGCAUGUGCAGGAAGAGGGGGCAGUCUGCAGCCCUGGUCUGGCCCCCAUUCAACCCUCCUCCCCAUAUCAACUUGGCAGGCUUGGCAUCCUCCGGCGAGAGCUGCUUCUGGCCCCAGAUUGGGCAGCAAUCACCGGUAUUAACCUGGAUAGGGCAGCCAGGACUGAGGGUCUGGAGGGCCUCUGUGUAGCAGUGCCACAGGUAUGAGUCAGCCCUUCUGAAGUCUGGGCAUAGCCCCAAGGAAGACAGUUAAGUACAAUGACAUAAGCAUGGUGGAACACAUCCUUGAACAGGUCAUCAUUUGCAGGGAAAGAAACCUGGAUUGCUUCCAUUUGGCGUGGCUUAUCUUCCCUCCCCACCCUUUGGCCGAUAGUCAGCCAUCUGCAUUGAGGCAGAGUCCUGAGAUAAGGAGAAACUCAGCCCUGCCCAGCAGUAGAGAGGAUGCUACCCUGCCAUGUCUGAGGCUUCAAGGAAGGACUUAUGUAGGCUUGGUAGCACAACUCACCCAUGCUCAUACACACCCACUGUCACAGUUACACACUCGUGGCAGGAGGGGCUGUGGGUGAGGGAAGAGCUUCCCAGUGAGAGACCAAAUUAUUGCAAAAGGGAACUCUGAGGAGUUAGAGCUCAAGAGAGCAGAAGGAGGCCAGAGCCUCAGAAGCAAAUGCAAAAUUCCCCUCUCCAGGAUCCCAGGAAGGCUGGGGAGGUUCUAGGAGCCCA
rnacentral:lncRNA from 1 species